rnacentral:rRNA from 1 species
UACGGGGGGGGCAAGCGUUGUUCGGAAUUAUUGGGCGUAAAGGGCUCGUAGGCGGCCAACUAAGUCAGACGUGAAAUCCCUCGGCUUAACCGGGGAACUGCGUCUGAUACUGGAUGGCUUGAGUUUGGGAGAGGGAUGCGGAAUUCCAGGUGUAGCGGUGAAAUGCGUAGAGAUGUGGAGGAACACCGAUGGCGAAGGCAGCCUCCUGGGCCAAUACUGACGCUCAUGCACGAAAGCGUGGGGAGCAAACAGG